CGACGUCACGAUGUCCCUAAUGUCAAAAUCAGUUCGUCGCUUUUGUUCAGUGUGUUGAUGGGAUGCGAACGCGAAAGAGAAAGUCAAAAUUGUAAAAUACUGUGAAAAUGGUGGACAAACUAGUUAACAGCGAAGCCAACGCGCGUCGAAUACAGAUGGUGGAAAGCUGUUUCGGCAGCUCCGGGCAGCCACUGUAUGUACCGGGCCGGGUACUGGUCGGCGAAGGCGUACUAACAAAGAUGUGCCGCAAGCGUCCGAAGGCGCGUCAAUUUUUUCUGUUCAACGACAUUCUCGUCUAUGGAAAUAUAGUUAUCGGCAAAAAGAAGUACAACAAACAACACCUAAUACCUUUGGAGGAAGUGCAACUACAAGCCCUGGACGAUAAUGGACAAUACAGAAACGGCUGGCUGAUACGGACUGCCACGAAAUCAUUUGCCGUCUAUGCUGCUACGCAAACGGAGAAACAAGAAUGGAUGGCACACAUUAACAAAUGCAUUGAGGACUUGUUACGAAAAAGUGGUAAAAAACCUGUGGAGAAUCACGCAGCUGUUUGGGUGCCUGAUAGCGAGGCUAACAUAUGCAUGCAUUGCAAGAAAACCCAAUUCACUAUGUUGAUACGUAGGCAUCAUUGUCGAAAUUGCGGUGCUGUGGUUUGUGGGCCAUGUUCGUCGAAAAAAUUCCUUCUGCCAGGACAAAGCACCAAACCGCUGCGCGUCUGUUUGGACUGUUAUGACAACCUGAGCUCUAUGAAGCGGGAAGAGAACAAGGGAUUAAAUGCCAAUAAUAACAAGCCAGUUACAUCACCAGAAAGCUCCGGCGAUGACGACUCAGACGAUGAAGAGGAACCGAAAGAUACGCAUGAUGAGGGCUUUAGAAGUCACUGUACACCAACAGUCGUCUGUGUAUGAUAGGAGCAGGCAUCGGGAAGACCCGAUAGCAGAAUUAAAAAACCACUUCGCUUCAUUCGCCACGUCUUCACUAAAUCAUAAUGAAGAAUCAGAGUAACGAAAGCCAGAAAGCCUAGUGAUAUCAGUUAAGAUUUUGUACAGUGUUUCGUUAAAAGAAAGAACCUGCCAGAGGCAACCACUCUUUUUACGACACCAAAAUUCUACGGUGAUGAAAAACCAGAGAAAUAACCGUAACGACGCGGAAAAGCAAUCCACCCACAAAAUUACUGAUUCGUAUAGAAGUCUCACCAAUUUGAUAGGAACUAGUGAAUAAUGUCUAAUUUAUUCACUAGAAAACUCCGGAAAUACAACCUAGGUCAAUGUGAAUUGAAUUUUAGAUACAAGAAAAAGUACUCUCAUUCUAUUUUCCUUUAUUGCAUUACCCAGCAAACAUGUAUCGAAGCUAUCAAUAGUUGUUUAAUACUUACGGAGAAAACCAUUUAUUAGUUAAGAAAACUUCUUCAACCCGUGAAACAAGUUCGACAUAUUCAAUCUUUCGAUAUUUUACCACCAACCUCCUUUAUAACAUAGAACCGAAGCAAUGCUGUAGAACAAGAAUCAACUAUUUGGGGUACAAAAUAUGUCCUGUGAUCUGCUUCUCCAAGAAAAUGUAAAUGUAAACCGUUUUGCCCAAUAGAUACUACCAGUUAUCGGGAAUUUAUUAUAAACUGUUAUAUAAUAUUGAUCACAUUCUGGACUGUGAACAAUUCAGGCGAUCAUCUGAUAGAUACGUAGCAUUUUUUGGCCAGUCGGGUUAAAUUGUUCAAAAAAUGCUGUGUCAUUUACGGGUGUUCCGUAGAAGUUUUAAUUCCUAUCCGUUUUCUCGGUCAUAGCAGAGUUGAAAUCAUUAGGGGUACUCACUAAACAGAUUAAACUGCUGCGUAAGCCAUGAUUUUCUGCUUAUAUGAAAUGUUUCAUGAUUUUGCGAAUGAAAUAAUCAAAGAUUGCCUUGGUGAUCGCGACGUUCAACCCUUUCAGGACGGUUGGGUCAUUUGCACCUCGCUGACGUGUUCUACAGCGGCGAGGUUGGUCAAAAAAGUCGUCCCAAAGGGAUUAAUCAGUUUAAUCAGUUUACGCUGUUAAGUGGAUCCCCCUAUUAUUUGUAUUUGGUGAUGAAUAAAAACCAGGUCCACACAGAAUAGUCUUGUAAAAUCGGAAUUUAGUAGACAUAAUGUCUUGUCUCGACGCGCGAUGAGCCUAGAUCUUCAACCAGACUAUUAUUAUUAUUUUUAUUCUUAUGAUAAGUAAAUCAGAUAAAAGAUGUAUAUGAAUAUAUUUAAGCUUAUCAAUAAAAUAUUAAAAUUGCUCACAUUUUCGAAAAAAAUA